GAUGAACGCUGGCGGCGUGCCUAAUACAUGCAAGUCGAGCGAAGCGGGGACGGGUGAGUAACACGUGGAUAACCUCCUAUAAGACUGGGAUAACUUCGGGAAACUGGAGCUAAACUUGAUACUUAUAGAUGGAUCUGCGCUGCAUUAGCUAGUUGGUAAGGUAACGGCUUACCAGUGCAACGAUGCAUAGCCGAUCUGAGAGGGUGGUCGGCCGCACGGGAACUGAAACACGGUCCAGACUCCUACGUGAGGCAGAAGUAGGGAACCGUAGGCAAUGGGCGAAAGCCUGACGGAGCAACGCCGCGUGAGUGAUGAAGGUCUUCGGAUCGUAAAACUCGGUUAUUAGGGAAACGGUACCGAAUCAGAAAGCCACGGCUAACUACGUGCCAGCAGCCGCGGUAAUAC
rnacentral:rRNA from 1 species